UUUUCACCCUUCACCGCACACCAGCAACCACUCCUCCGUUGUUGAAAGCCAGACAAGCAUGUUUGUGUGAUCAUUCUCUGGGGGAAUACCUAUUGCACAGUCCACACUUUGAUUGAUGUCUUUUGGACCAAUAGUUUUUGAGAAAAGUGGGGAAAAGUACCUCCUCCGCACAUGUACGGAAGAUGAUAAGCGUUAACGGUGUUCCGUACAGGCUAUUACGAUGUUCCGUACAGAACGCCUUCUUUUAUUUUCAUGACGAAAAUGGACAUUUAACGGAUCAACUUUGAGCUAUUUAUUUAUUUUAACUGGAGAAACAUCAUUUCAAUGAAUAAGAAAGCAGGUCAAAAUACUCAUCGCUAUUGAUGACUUAGGCUGGCAGCGGAAUGAGACGCCUCACCUUCUCCUUCCUCUCCAGGGCUGGGCUCAUGAGGACGUUAGCCAGACUCUCUGGUAUUACACCUGCUGCCACCAGGUAAUUUUUGUGAUCCACUUUAUUAAUAUUACAGGUGGGGCAAGGUGUUUGAGUUAUGACUGAUAUGUCAGUAGGUGACGUGAUGGAUGGUACAGUGGGAGCGAUGGAUGGUGUAAUUAAGGCAGUGGCGGCAGGGCUGGAUUGUGUGGCAUCACUUCCAUCUAUAGAUGGGAGCACUCUCACCACCUAAGAAAAUAAAACCAGCCCUGGACAGAGGAAAAAGGCCAGCCUUGCGAAACCCGGCCUUAAUGUUUUGGACUGUGACAGCAGUGGGAUAGACAUGUUUGAGGAGAGCUGAAAACUGCUUCUUCCCCACAACAAUGUCCCCUCGCACCAGACCCAUCCUGGAAGCCAUGGUGGAGAAAGCAGUCUUAAGUGGGUUG